rnacentral:ncRNA from 1 species
CGAGUCUGCCAGACUGAAGGCCGCAGACAGCGGUGAGGAACACCGGUGAACCCCGAGCGGGGUGAAUCCGGGGCGGUCCCGCCACUGUGACCGGUCGGCUGAACGCAGUCCCGGAAGCCAGGAACUCGCCGUGUCUGCCGAGCGACGA